rnacentral:rRNA from 1 species
UGGGGAAUUUUGCGCAAUGGGCGAAAGCCUGACGCAGCGACGCCGCGUGUGCGAUGAAGGCCUUUGGGUCGUAAAGCACUGUCGACCGGGACGAAAACUUCGGGGCUAAUACCUCCGAAGCUUGACGGUACUGGUAAAGGAAGCACCGGCUAACUCUGUGCCAGCAGCCGCGGUAAUACAGAGGGUGCAAACGUUGCUCGGAAUCAUUGGGCGUAAAGCGCGUGUAGGCGGCUCGUUAAGUCGGUUGUGAAAACCCAUGGCUCAACCAUGGAAGGGCGUCCGAAACUGGCGAGCUAGAGUCCCGACGAGGAUGGCGGAAUUCCCAGUGUAGAGGUGAAAUUCGUAGAUAUUGGGAGGAACACCGGUGGCGAAGGCGGCCAUCUGGGAGGGCACUGACGCUGAGACGCGAAAGCGUGGGGAGCAAACAGG